rnacentral:ncRNA from 1 species
CCCUGACUUUGGUUCUACAAUUUGGUUGGGAUUAAAAAGGAAUCCGGUGUAAAUCCGGAACUGUAUCUGCAGCUGUGAGUUCUAAAAGUCGGUUUCAAGAAUGUCACUGUGAAUGCUCCCCGCGUUCAUGGGAAGGCGAAACCGAUACGGUACGAGUCAGAAUACUUGCCUUGGUCAUU